ACGUGUCUGCUGAGUCGAUCUGCAGAUCUGCAGAUCUAAGUUGAUCUGCAGAAUUUUUAUACCUUUUUUGUUUUUACGAGACAUUUGACAGUAAAUCCAGGAUGAUGAAAACGAACCAAAACAACAGAGGAGCAACCCCUUAGGAGACCGACAAAGAGGUGAAUGAACGCUCCUACCACUACCCAAAUGUGAUACAGUGAUUUGCAAGAAGAAAUAGGUAUCUGGCCUUCGUCCACUGUUCCCGGCACACAGUUCCAAAACUUGGAAUCUCCUACACAGGAACCGCAGGGGCCUCUUUUGUUACAAUACUUAGUUUUGUCCCCAGUCCCCGCAACAGCUCCAGAGUGGCAAAGGGGAAGUGGGAGGCUUUUGUUAUUUAUAACAAACCCCUCUCCGCGGAGUGACUUUUGGAGAGCCCCCGAGGGCGGGGCCUGGUUGCCAGGGUAACCAUUCUGCGAUCACAGGGUUGGAACUCCAAGCCCCGCCCCCAGCUCUACGGAGGGGAGAGGGGCUGGAGAUGUGAGCUCGGUCGCCAGUCCCACCUUUGUAGCGAAGCCCCCACCGGAGCCCAGGAGGACAGGGCCCAGCGCUUCCCGGCUGGUGAAGAUGGAGAAGAAGGACGCACCAGGACGGGUCUUGGGUGCUGUGUCCCCUCCCACAUCCAGUGCCCUACACAUCAGUUCCAGCGGGCUCUCCCUGAGUUACACCUUUUUUCCAAUAAACAGCUCCUUCUGCUGAGAAUGCCAACUCCCCGAUGCCCAUUCCCAUUCCUCAAACUCAUGUAUUGUUGAAGAUACUUCUCAGGCGUUACCUCCGUUAGUCUAUUCCUCUUCUGGACCCAUAAAACUUUGAAUCACGCUGA